rnacentral:lncRNA from 1 species
UAGUGUGUGUACACAUAUACACCUGUGUGCAUAUGUACAUGGUAUUUAAGCAUGUUUGCAUGUGUGUUUGUGCUUGCAUGUGCUGCGUGUUUGUGUUGGUGGGAUGUGGGGAGGCUGCUGUGGAGACAAAAGCUGGAGAGAACUUGGUAGAGUAACCCAGGUCGGGAAAUGGCACCUGCAAAGGAAGGCUGGAGUACCUGGGAUUCACGUUGAAAUGGCCAAUCCAUCAGCUGGGCUGGACACAGCCAUCACACUGGGCAGCUGUGAGGUUAAAACAGAAAGUCUGGGCUGUGGGGAGGCUGAGAAUUGAGACGCAUGUAUGAGAUGAGUCACGAGGGCCAAGUGGUGUGUGUGAGAAAGCAGGCACAGCACCACUAAACACUAAGGAGAUUUCAGGGGAGUUACGGGUGGAGGGAGGACAUCAGAUCUACCCUGGAAGUUAAACGUGUUUCGAGUGCAUUAAAUACUAUGGGCCGCAGACGCCUUGUCUCCAUAUCUACUCUUUUAUAAAUGAAGUAAAGUUCUUGGGAAAUACUUUUCUCACUGUAAAGCUCACAAUCUAUCUUGCAAAAAAUAUUUUAAAUUCCAUCUCAAAUAAGCCAGGGUGAAAAGGGAGCCUGUGCACCAGACACUGCCAGCCUUGCCUGGUUCUCGCCUUCUUGCUCUUCCUUCCCCAGCUGCUGGGGAUUUUCUUAACGAUGGAGAUGGGUUUGGGUUUGUCCUGCUGUGCUCUGCUCCCCAUUCCCGGAUCCAAGGUCAUGCCUCUGUCCUGUCCCCUGAGCCACCUCAGGGAUACAGGGUCCCCCACCUGGUCAAGUGCCCAGUGCUGUGCUGUCAUUUGCAAUUUCUUCCUGUGACUGAACUCCAAAUGGCACUGGGACUGCUGACUCCACCCAUUGGACACCCCGUGUUCUUGCUUUUGGGGUUUCUGAAACAGCCCCAAGACUCUGGGCAUCUUGAUUUUGCUCCCAUUGCUUCUCAGGACGCCCUCCUCCUGUGGUUUGCAGCCCCGGCCUUCUCUUCGAGGACGCCUCUGCUCUUCUGCCUCACACUCGGAUUGUACCUUCUUCAGCACAGCCAGUGGCCGAGGCUUCCUCCCUGGGGCUCAGUGGAGCAGGACAGAUGCUGCAUCCAAACUCUUCCAUUGGGUUCCAGUCUGUUCCAGUCAUGCCCUUGAGACUCUAAAGCUCCUAGGUAAGAGACGUAGCAGCUGACAGCACUUCCCACUCGAUUUGGGUGGACUCCAGCCUCCCCAGCAACAAUAAGAGAUCAAAGGCAUCGUCGAGGAAGCAGCUUGCUGAAACGCUGAGUGCCCGCCACUCUCAGGUCAGGUGGGACCAGCAGGCCAGCGUGAGUUCCUGAACACUUGGUUCUCAAUACUGGCCACAGCCACACUGUAAGGGGAAACAAGAGGGCACUGUAUGCAAACAUCUCUUGAACUCUGGAGUCUGCUCACCUUCCUGCCUCAAGCCCCUCUCCCACGUGGUCCAGUCACCAUUCUCCACAGAGACUACCCUAAAACCCAGCGACUCUCGUGUGCCUGCAGAAUGGCGCAGCCCGUUCUCAUAGCAGCACUCCUGUUUAAUCAGAGGGAUGUUAACGACCAAGUCAUAUUUGCUCGAUUUGUGUUCAAUAUAUUUCAUUUCUACUGAUAAAACUUAAAAAUAUCCCCACACAUGCAUUGCCUGUUAAAGAGUAUCUUCCAGGUACACCUCCCUUACACAUCAGUUAACUUGAUAAUUUCUUCCCAUUCUUGUACAAUAAAUUUCCUUCCUGAUCAGCUCUGUCCAGCAGCAACAACAAUCCACGUAGAGACAUGCAAACUAAAAGUCCGUUAGUGGAGGCACGAAGCUGAUGAGGCUUGGAAAAAAAUGACCGAUUUGAUUAAAAUUAGGACCCAUGGGAGUGGAGCUCUGCCUAUUUUAGAGGCAAAGUAAAUGCCUGGGAGUCCAAUCACCGACAUUCUGUUUGAGGUUUCUAAUCACAAGGAAGAUGGAGAAAAUGCAGAACAAGUGGUCAAGAACAGGGAGAUAAUAAAUAGAAUAUUUAUGGGCUGAGGAAAACAAUUACCAGGGGAAAGCCCAAGAAGCAAAGAUGAACAGAGAACGUGCUGACUGCGCUCGUUUGGAAAGGCCUCAUGGCCAAAGGAGGAGAGGCAUUAUGAGGAGCAGUGACCGAGUGGGCAGGACCCCCGGGGAUCAGGAAAGGUGCACGGGGGGAGAUGAGAGGCCUGAGCGGCUUCCCAGCGAAGGUUUUUGAAGCACGGUUUGAUUUUCUCUCUCCCCCUCACCAUCCCCAGAUUUUAGUUGUGACUAUCUCCAGGUACAUGGCUUGCGACAGGCGGUGUAUAAAAACUAAUGUGAGUUUAAUUUUAAAACCUUAGCCAUUUUCUGGAACUUAAAUAUCAAAGAGAAAAUGUCCACAUAUGAUGUUAAUUGAGGUUUGUCUCACUGGUGAUUUGUGCUGAUUCAAUUCCUGUUUCUUUUUUUUUUUCUUAAGGGGUCAGUUUUAGAAUUGGGAGAUAGGUGUAUAACAUAUGACUAUACAGCGCAGGUUGGUUUUUUAACAUAGAAAUAUCUGCCUUUAAAUGAGAACUGAAAACGGAGCUUCUUGGAGGCCACCUGCUGGUGGCAGUGAUCUGACCGCUGUUUAAGCUUUCUUUGAACUCUCAGUGAAGAGUGUGUUUUAUUUUCUGAGGAGCUGAACUGUUCCAACCUGAGUAUUCUGAAUAAGGACAGUGGUCGAGCAUGAGUGAUGCCAUCUGGGCUUAGAAAUAAGUGGGCCUAAAAUCUGAUUGUUUUCAUACAUUGUUCAGAUAUUGACUUAAAUAGCAAUUUAUUUUUUAAAAAAUGAUUGGUAUCCGGAACUUGCAACAGCUGUGUGUGGCUUGAAGGGAGAAGAAGUGGUGAAGGCCUGGUUUCCACCGAAGCUCUCACAGCCCAGCCUUUCACUGUGUGGCCGGGGGAAGGGUGCUCCGGGUGGGGGACGGGAAUGGUGGGACUGGGGAUGCCACGGGACAAGGCUGCUGGCCUGGAAGGUGGUCCCGUGGAGAACCGCAGGAGAUGAGAUUGGAAAGUAGUAAUAAGCCAUGUGGAUAAGAACAGAGGAGCGGGUUUUAAGGGGGACGUCCUGAAAUGCUGCUCAUGUCGUUUCAGUUCCAUAGACCACAGGAAAUGCAGGUGAGAGGGCAGCCCGGUGGGAAGGAAGGAAGAGGGUGGUGGUGAGCCAGGUGAGUGUGGAGCCGCCCAGGGCACCGUGCUGUGCUAUAGCUCAGGCAUCGGGUGCUUCUGCCAAACCCUUCAGCACCUGGUUUGGGGCCAACUUCCUUCCUGUGUGAGAGAAGGCAGAGCCUAGGCAGCAUUCCAAACCCCAUCCAGAUGGGAGGCUGAGUGCAGAGCAAACGGAGCCCAGCACUCCAGAGCCGUGUCCCUUCACUGCCACGAUCACAUCACAAACAGCGAGGCUUGGAGAGGACUUGAGAGCUCCUUCAAUGCCAUCUUCCAUCCACUGCGUGAGCCAGAAUAGAAAAAAAGGAAUAAGAAGAGGUCGGUUAAGUUCUCUAUUAAGUUGAGAAAAUGGGAACUUCAGGUGAUCAUGUGAGAUAUUCAAGUUAAAAAAAUUAUUUAAAAAGCACAUUCUUAUUAUUAAAAUUUUAGAAAGUACAGAGAAAGAAAUUUUAAUAACCUACAUCUAGAACACUAAGAUACCGGUAACUUAGAAAAAUGUGUAGUUAAUGCCCUGAUGGAUUCUUUUCUAUUUUUUUCUCUAGCAAUAUUUAUGUCUAUCCACAGAAAGCAUACACUCAUGUAUUUGCAUGGCUAAUAUAUUUUAUGUAAAGUUCUAUAUAUUUCUCAACAUUUCACUUAAUAUUUCUUUAUAAACAUUUUUCCAGUGGAU